rnacentral:tRNA from 1 species
GUGGACGUAGAUCAAUUGGUAGAUUCUCGGCUUGUGAUGCCGACGGUUGCGGGUUCAAGUCCCGUCGUUCACCCCA